UACAGAGGGGGCAAGCGUUAUUCGGAAUUAUUGGGCGUAAAGGGCGCGUAGGCGGCCAUUCAAGUGACGGGUGAAAGCCCUCGGCUUAACCGAGGAACUGCCUGUCAGACUGGAUGGCUUGAGACCGGGAGAGGUGAGUGGAAUUCCCAGUGUAGCGGUGAAAUGCGUAGAUAUCUGGAGGAACACCGGUGGCGAAGGCGGCAUCCUGGACCGGUAUUGACGCUGAGGCGCGAAAGCUAGGGGAGCAAACGGG
rnacentral:rRNA from 1 species